rnacentral:rRNA from 1 species
CCUACGGGAGGCAGCAGUGAGGAAUAUUGGUCAAUGGACGAGAGUCUGAACCAGCCAAGUGGCGUGAAGGAUGACUGCCCUAUGGGUUGUAAACUUCUUUUAUAUGGGAAUAAACUGUUCCACGUGUGGGAUUUUGUAUGUACCAUAUGAAUAAGGAUCGGCUAACUCCGUGCCAGCAGCCGCGGUAAUACGGAGGAUCCGAGCGUUAUCCGGAUUUAUUGGGUUUAAAGGGAGCGUAGGUGGAUUGUUAAGUCAGUUGUGAAAGUUUGCGGCUCAACCGUAAAAUUGCAGUUGAAACUGGCAGUCUGGAGUACAGUAGAGGUGGGCGGAAGUCGUGGUGUAGCGGUGAAAUGCUUAGAUAUCACGAAGAACUCCGAUUGCGAAGGCAGCUCACUGGACUGCAACUGACACUGAGGCUCGAAAGUGUGGGUAUCAAACAGGAUUAGAUACCCGGGUAGUC